AAGCAGUUCAGAGCAAUGAACAAGCUCAAAAAACUCGCAUUGAAGGUCAUUGCGGAAAAUUUAUCUGAAGAAGAAAUCAAGGGUCUGAAAGCUAUGUUUCACAACAUUGAUACGGACAAUAGUGGCACAAUCACUUAUGAAGAACUGAAGUCGGGAUUGGCUCGGCUUGGAUCAAAGCUAACGGAGACUGAAGUCAAGCAACUCAUGGAAGCUGCUGAUGUGGAUGGAAAUGGAUCAAUUGAUUACAUUGAGUUUAUUACUGCAACGAUGCAUAGACAUCGGCUAGAAAGGGAUGAGCAUCUUUUUAAAGCUUUUCAGCAUUUUGACAAGGACCAUAGUGGAUUCAUCACGCGAGAUGAAUUGGAAAACGCUAUGAAGGAAUAUGGUAUGGGUGAUGAGGCCACCAUCAAGGAGAUAAUCGCAGAGGUGGACACUGACAAUGACGGUAGGAUCAAUUACGAGGAGUUCUGUGCUAUGAUGAGAAGUGGAACAACACAACCACAACAAAAGCUUUUCUAGUGCAUCGAGAGCAAAUUACCCUUGCAACGAGCAGAGAACGUUCACCAGCCAGCACGAUGGAGAGAUGUCUAUCACGAGAGGAUCAGUAACUUAACAUACUUCCAUAUUUCUUCAAUCCUUCAGCUAUCUUCAAAAAGCACUGGAGUACAUGAGACCUUUUUCGUGUAGGUUGAGUUCGCGUGGAAAAUGUGUGUAUAGCUAGUUAAUGGUAUAUUUCGAGUUUCUUGUAAUGUAUUUGAUCCCCCUUCGUAAUUUUGUGUGGAUCGCGUUGUGAAGUUGACCUCCCGUAGAGAUUAUAACAAGA
rnacentral:misc_RNA from 1 species